GUGCUAGCAGCCGCGGUAAUACCGGCAGCCCGAGUGAUGGCCGAUAUUAUUGGGCCUAAAGCGUCCGUAGCUGGCCGAACAAGUCCGUCGGGAAAUCCACGUGCUUAACGCGUGGGCGACCGGCGGAAACUGUUCGGCUUGGGGCCGGAGGACCCGAGGGGUACGUCCGGGGUAGGAGUGAAAUCCUGUAAUCCUGGACGGACCGCCGGUGGCGAAAGCGCCUCGGGAAGACGGACCCGACAGUGAGGGACGAAAGCCAGGGUCUCCAACCGGAUUAGAUACCCGUGUAGUCC
rnacentral:rRNA from 1 species